AUUGAACGCUGGCGGCAUGCCUUACACAUGCAAGUCGAACGGCAGCACGGGAGCAAUCCUGGUGGCGAGUGGCGAACGGGUGAGUAAUAUAUCGGAACGUGCCCAGUCGUGGGGGAUAACGUAGCGAAAGCUACGCUAAUACCGCAUACGAGCUAUGAAUGAAAGCGGGGGAUCGCAAGACCUCGCGCGAUUGGAGCGGCCGAUAUCAGACUAGGUAGUUGGUGAGGUAAAGGCUCACCAAGCCGACGAUCUGUAGCUGGGCUGAGAGGACGACCAGCCACACUGGGGCUGAGACACGGCCCAGACUCCUAGGGGGGGCAGCAGUGGGGAAUUUUGGACAAUGGGCGCAAGCCUGAUCCAGCAAUGCCGCGUGCAGGAUGAAGGCCUUCGGGUUGUAAACUGCUUUGGUACGGAACGAAACGGCGAGCUCUAAUACAGUUUGCUAAUGACGGUACCGUAAGAAUAAGCACCGGCUAACUACGUGCCAGCCGCCGCGGUAA
rnacentral:rRNA from 1 species